rnacentral:rRNA from 1 species
GACGAACGCUGGCGGCGUGCUUAACACAUGCAAGUCGAACGGAAAGGCCCUGCUUUCGGGGGACUCGAGUGGCGAACGCGUGAGUAACACGUGGGUGUUCUGCCCUGCACUUCUGGGUAAGCCUUGGGAACUGUGUCGAAUACCGGGUAGGGGCCAUCUUGAUGGUGGGUGGUGGAAAGAUUUUUGUGUGUAGGGUGGGUGGGCGGCCGAUCAGCUUGCUGGUGGGGUAAUGGCUGACCAACCCGGUCACGGGUAGGUGGCCGGUGAGGGUGGACGGCCCCACUUGGGCUGAGAGACGGGCCCGACACCCACGGGAGGGAGAGGUGGGGAAAAUUGGACACAGGGCGCGAGCCCGAUGCAGAGACGCGGCGUGGGCGAGGACGGGCUUCGGGUUGUAAAAUCCUUUCGCUAGGGACGAAGCUUUUUGUGACGGUAACUAGAUAAGAAGCAACGGCUAACUACGUG